CAGUAAGCGGAGGAAAAGAAACUAACUAGGAUUCCUUAGUAACGGCGAGUGAACAGGGAAAAGCCCAGCACCGAAUCUCCCGUCCCAUUAUGUGGGCGAGGCGAAAUGUGGUGUGUGGGAGGAAGUCUCUUCAGACUGCAGCAAGCCUAAGUCCCCCUGACUGGGGCCACAACCCAUGGCGGGUGCAAGGCCCUUUCGGCUGAUUCUGCAGUUCUCGAGGUCGACUACCUCUCUAGAGUCGGGUUGCUUGAAAGUGCAGCCCUAAGCGGGUGGUAAACUCCAUCUAAGGCUAAAUACUUCCACGAGACCGAUAGCAAACAAGUACCGUGAGGGAAAGUUGCAAAGAACUUUGAAGAGAGAGUUCAAGAGUACGUGAAACCGCUUGGAGGUAAACGGGUGGGCCCUCGAAGGUCGAACGGGGGGAUUCAACCCGUCGCCUAAAAUUCUCCGGUGUAGUCUGAUAAACGCGGUGAUGCACGCAUUUAAACGUACCCUGAAAGACGGGACGGCCGUAACACCAAUGGAGAAGGGCGGCGGGCGCAGUUCCCCCUUAGUAGGACGCCGCGACCGGUCGGGUCAGAAUAAAAACCUGGUAAUUGCAGCCAAGAGGCGCGAAAAUUGGGCAGGUGACCGUUGCUGCGAUCGCCACUUCGGUGCUGUAAUUCGAUUACGGCCGGAGAACGGCCUCACGGCCGGGCGACCAGUCGGAGUUAUAGCCCAUCGCGACCCGUCAUUUGCUCUGCAACCCGACCGAAUAAGUCACCAUAAAAACGGUCGACGCGUGCCCGCGUUCGUUUUCAYUAACGAAACGCGCACCUCGGCAUUGGCAGGCAGCGAUCAGAUGCAAGACUUUGUGCAUUUUAGACUUGCGCACGUCGACAAACUCGACGGGCGUCGGUCCUGAUUGCGCCGCAAAGCCUUUGCCCGCCUUCUGGUGCGGUGGCAAGCUUGACGUUCUGCGGCGAGUAGGUCGGUAACCCACCCNNNNNNNNNNNNNNNNNNNNNNNNNNNNNNNNNNNNNNNNNUNNNNNNNNNNGUACGCUUGCGGUGGUUGCAUUUCUCAGAUUUUUGUGAUCGUCUUUGUGCGGCUGGAGACGUAAAAGUUUCCUCCGUAAUCCGUAAGCGGCCGAGGCAGGAUCCCGUGGAGAUAAAUAUAUAUGGCUUAGCGGUGAGUUGCGUCGUCUUGUGCUGCUUUCCUCUUUCUUCGGGAAGGGGUUGCGGUCGAGGCGGCGUCGCGUUCGGAGCCGCGGCUAAAAUCUCCAGUAACCGAAUCGAACGGCGGGACGUUUUCCUCGCGAGAACCAGUUCUCGGAUGGGCGCUCUCGUAUUCCUCGCACCUCUGCAUGUGCCACGGUCCUCUUACGGCCUUUUGACUCGUUCUCUUUUUUUUCCUUUUCCUCUCUCUUCCAAUCUGGGAGAUUGGGGUUGGAAUGGAGGAGGCGAGAAAGAGAGGUUUGGUUCGGGCACGCAAGUCGAGGUAAUGGAGAUGUUUCGCUCGGAGGAUGUCUGGCAAAAUAUAACGUUCCCCACUGUUUCUCUAAAAAAGAGAUUGCCGUACGUUUCGGGGGCGCACUGCCGGCCCGUUUCGACCGCCCUCGGUGCUCGUGGUCACACGAUAACAUCCGCGAAUGCUCCGGACGUUUUUAAAACCAUCGCUUUUCCUUUAUUCGGGUUUUUCCUCGGAGUUUUACCUUUACGGGUCUUUCUCCGGGGUUGCUCGGUGGGUUGCGUUGGGCGUUCGGCUAGGCGCGCGGGGGGCCCGAAAGUCGGUGAGGCGGAGCAAGAGCACACACGUUGGGACCCGAAAGAUGGUGAACUAUGCCCGGGCAGGACGAAGCCAGAGGAAACUCUGGUGGAGGUCCGUAGCGAUUCUGACGUGCAAAUCGAUCGUCGGACCUGGGUAUAGGGGCGAAAGNNNNNNNNNNNNNNNNNNNNNNNNNNNNNNNNNNAAGUUUCCCUCAGGAUAGCUGGUGCUCGGAGUAAAUAAAAGUUUCAUCCGGUAAAGCGAAUGAUUAGAGGCCUUGGGGUCGAAACGACCUCAACCUAUUCUCAAACUUUCAAUGGGUGAGAAGUCCGGCUUGCUUAAAAGCGCAAACAGAGACAAAAUAACCGAAAUCUUAUAAAAAUUGCGAUUGUUGCGUGGUUACCGAGGGGGUGUCGCGGAUGCCAAGCCCUAACCGAACGGCUCUCGUAUGCCUUUAGUUGAGUCGGUCGGCGGGCAAUGCCGUGGCACACAUAUUAACCUUCGGUUCGACCAUCUCUCGCGUUUGAAGCACGGACGUAGAAUGCGAGUGCCCAGUGGGCCACUUUUGGUAAGCAGAACUGGCGCUGUGGGAUGAACCAAACGUCGGGUUACGGCGCCCAAUGCAGACGCUCAUCAGAGCCCAUGAAAGGUGUUGGUUGCUAUUGACAGCAGGACGGUGGCCAUGGAAGUCGGAANNNNNNNNNNNNNNNNNNNNNNNNNNNNNNNUUCCAUGUGAACAGCAGUUGAACAUGGGUCAGUCGGCCCUAAGGAAUAGGGGAAACCCGUUCCGAAAGUCGGGAAGUAUAUAAAAUGAAAUAAAAUGAUAAAAAUACCGAAAGGCCUUCGGCGUGACGGUAGUGUUGRCAGUWUGAUCCACGGACGUGUGCAUGUGUCAUGCGUAUUCGCGGCGCGGGUUGACUCAGCCUAUUGCUGGGGCCUGUGUCGUUUGUUUGCGUGUGGUUUGUGUAGCGUGGGAGUUUUGGGUCUGCUGUCUCGCCUCCGUGCAUGUCGUCGUGUUUUGACGUGUUAAAAUCAUAAAUAACAAACAAAAAAAUACUCCCGGCGUACCGAAAGGGAAUCGGGUUAAUAUUCCCGAACCAGGACGCAGAGAUUGCCUCUCGUGGGGCAAAAGCGGUAACGCAUUAACGAACUCGGAGACGUCGGCAAAAGUCCCGGAAAGAGUUUUCUUUUCUUUGUAAGGGACCGAGUCCAUGGAAUCGGUUCGACCGGAGAUAUGGAUGUCGUCCCCGUAAAGCACCGCGGCUCUUGCGGUGUCCGGUGAACUCUUGUCGGCCCUUGAAAAUCCGAGGGAGUGAUAAUGAUUUCUGCACCUGGCCGUACCCAUAUCCGCAGCAGGUCUCCAAGGUGAACAGCCUCUAGUCGAUAGAACA
rnacentral:rRNA from 1 species